ACGGAAGGCAGCAGUGGGGAAUAUUGCACAAUGGGGGAAACCCUGAUGCAGCGACGCCGCGUGAGUGAAGAAGUUAUUCGUAAUGUAAAGCUCUAUCAGCAGGGAAGAAAAUGACGGUACCUGACUAAGAAGCCCCGGCUAACUACGUGCCAGCAGCCGCGGUAAUACGUGGGGGGCAAGCGUUAUCCGGAUUUACUGGGUGUAAAGGGAGCGUAGACGGUCUAGCAAGUCUGAUGUGAAAGGCAGGGGCUCAACUCCUGGACUGCAUUGGAAACUGUUAGUCUUGAGUGUCGGAGAGGUAAGCGGAAUUCCUAGUGUAGCGGUGAAAUGCGUAGAUAUUAGGAGGAACACCAGUGGCGAAGGCGGCUUACUGGACGAUAACUGACGUUGAGGCUCGAAAGCGUGGGGAGCAAACAGGAUUAGAUACCCUGGUA
rnacentral:rRNA from 1 species